AUUGAACGCUGGCGGCAGGCCUAACACAUGCAAGUCGAGCGAGCGGCGGACGGGCGAGCUAUGUAUGGGGACUGCCCGAUAGAGGGGGCUAACCACUGGAAACGGUGGCUAACACCGCAUACUAUCGUUUAACCCAUAGGGGAUUCGCUAGUAGGUGGGGUAAAGGCUAACCUAGGCGACGCUCUCGAGCUGGUAUGCGAGGAUGAUCAGCCAAACGGGGACUGAGACACGGCCCAGACUCCGACGGAGGCAGCAGUGGGGAAUAUUGCACAAUGGGCGCAAGACGGAGGCAGCCAUGCCGAGUGUAUGAAGAAGGCCUUAGGGUUGUAAAGUACUUUCAGGGGGGAGGCGUUACCGACAGAAGAAGCACCGGCUAACUCCGUGCCAGCCGCCGCGGUAAUUC
rnacentral:rRNA from 1 species